CCGGCGGCCAACCAAACUCUUGUUUCUAUAGUGAAUCUCUGAGUAAAAACAUAAAUGAAUCAAAACUUUCAACAACGGAUCUCUUGGUUCUGGCAUCGAUGAAGAACGCAGCGAAAUGCGAUAAGUAAUGUGAAUUGCAGAAUUCAGUGAAUCAUCGAAUCUUUGAACGCACAUUGCGCCCUCUGGUAUUCCGGAGGGCAUGCCUGUUCGAGCGUCAUUUCAACCCUCAAGCCUGGCUUGGUGAUGGGGCACUGCCUGUAAAAGGGCAGGCCCUGAAAUCUAGUGGCGAGCUCGCCAGGACCCCGAGCGUAGUAGUUACAUCUCGCUCUGGAAGGCCCUGGCGGUGCCCUGCCGUUAAACCCCCAACUUCUGAAAAUUUGACCUCGGAUCAGGUAGGAAUACCCGCUGAACUUAAGCAUAUCAA
rnacentral:rRNA from 1 species